AACGUCGUGAUUUUUUUAUUUCAUUUUUAUUUUACUUUUAUUAAUUAAAUUUUUUUACCUACGUGACUUUACCGAAAAAACCUAAGACUAUGAAUCCUUGCAGUCACGAAAGCUUCAAAUCUAGAAGUUUUGUCUUGUGACAUGUGCUACGAAGAAGGGCCAUUGCCCGGAACGUCGCCUAUUAUAUAUAUUUUUUAUUUUUAAGACCACACAGUGAUAUUGACAAACGCGUUCAGUUGCGUUUUCGUUGUUAAAAGUGCUUGUUCGCCGCUACCAAUGCAGCGCCAAUAAAUAAUUUGUUUAAUUUCACUGAACGUCGAUGUCUUCAUUAAAGCCGUUGGUGGCGGUUCGAUAGAUCGACGUUUUUAUUUCAAUGUCCCCAUCCCUCCUCUCCCGGCUGCCAUGGCAACGAGAGUGUGGCUCCAGUGGUACCUCGCCGGGCUGCGAGUCAUAGGGAGAUCCAUGGCGAAGUGCAAUCACGACAGCCGCCUCAAGGCCCGUGGGAGCUGUGGUGGUGCAGCGCGCUGAGCGAGAGACCGGCCACGUGGAGUGAGCCUGGGUUCGAAUCCCACCCACGAACAAAAACCGUGGAGAAACACGGCACAUCGACGCCGGACUUCAAACAGAGAGGCGCGUGAUUCACUUACGGAUAAAGUGCGUACGUGGGAUUUGUUAACGUGUGUCUCUGUACCAAUGACAGGUGCUGUGGUGUGUGCAGGAGGGGGAUGGAGAGGACUGUGCCUGGGAGGAGGAUGUAACCUGGAAGAAGAUGGGGAAGCGGAGAGAAGCAGAUGGGGGGGAAAGAAAGUGAAAAAAUUUCUUGGAACUAAAAAACUUUUUUCUUCUUGGUUCUUUCGGUAAAGUCACGUAGGUGUUCAUUCAGACGCUGUCUUUCUGACAGACCUGUUCUUCACCUGAGGACGGCUGCUUGCGUUGUGGCCGAAACGUCGUGAGAAUUAUUUUAUUAUGUUUUAUUUUUAUUAUUUUAUUACUUCCCUUCUAUGUGACUUUACCGAAAGAACCAAGAAGAUGAAUCCCUGCAGUCACGAAAGCUUUAAAUCGAGCUAAAAAACCUUUGUCCACUAGGGGGCGCUGUUCUGCCACUAGGUGGCGCUGUUCCAUUACAUUUUACCUUACAAACGCUCCUUUUCAAGCAUAUAUAGCGAUUUCCGCUGGAUUCCCGACACAUUUAAGCCGUCAGCGAGAUGUCAUGCAAAUGUCAACAUGAAACGAAGCGCCGAAACAUAAAUUGCACACUGAGAAUGGCGAAUUGGAGAAUUUCCUCGCUUAGGGGCGCUAAUAUCAAGUUCAAACUGCUCAUUUGGACGAUUAAAAUUUAACAGAAAUUUACAAAAAAAUAAAACGUACAUUUACGAAAUAAAAAUGCCUCAGUGCUUAGAUUCACUUUCAUUUCACGUAAAACGUAUGGCUUACACCUCUAACAUGUUGGAUAAUCGAUCUAUUUUCUUUAAAAUCAUCGCUUUAAAGGCAAAAUGUCGUCAGACUGCAGCAGCACACCAAGGACAAACUCAAUGAAAGUGAAUCUUGACUUAAAGCUUUCGUGACUGCAGGAAUUCAUACUCUGUUGGUUUUUUCGGUGAAAGACCAUUGCUUGUGUUGCGAUCGAAACGUCGUGAUUUUUUAAAAUAUUUUAUUAUUUUUCUAUCUACGUGACUUUACCUAAAGACCCAAAGAGUAUCAAUGGAAGUGGCUUCAUCACCGUGUGGAAAUGUAAAUGCACGUUCAUUCACACCCUACAGGACUCGUGACGGGGCAGCAGGUACAUCGCUCGGUUGACGGAUGACCACGAGACUUGAAGCAACAUAGAACACAGGUCACGCUCACCUCACGGUUCCCGGCUCCAGGUGCGGGAUUUCCAGGUGGCCCGUGACCCCGGGAUGCUCAGGUGAAGGUCCCCGGAUUUCCCCGGUGGACCCAGGUGUGCCCGGCAGCCCCUCAACUCCAUCAUCCUGACCCACCCCUACUGGACACCUGUGAAAAAGAGCUUCAUAGCUCAUCGGAUUUCUCCAGGAUAAAUAAAUACUCCGAUUCUGAUCUUCUCCGCAGUGAAGGAGUGGUCCGGGCAGACCCCCAAACUCCCUAGUCGCGUCUUGGCCUCCACUGAGCAUCUGAAGCAACCACCUGGACUCGGAACUCAGGUGGCGAAUUCUACCCAGAGUCCAACCGGCAGGUUCACAUGGUGCUCUCGAGGGUGCGGUAGCUGUCCUUGCUCUUGAGCUCCAGGAAGUGUUUGGGUCUCCGCGUGCGGGGCCCCGCCGCCGGGAGGUACG